UCGCGGCCUAUCAGCUUGUUGGUGAGGUAACGGCUCACCAAGGCGUCGACGGGUAGCCGGCCUGAGAGGGUGACCGGCCACACUGGGACUGAGACACGGCCCAGACUCCUACGGGAGGCAGCAGUGGGGAAUAUUGCACAAUGGGCGAAAGCCUGAUGCAGCAACGCCGCGUGAGGGACGACGGCCUUCGGGUUGUAAACCUCUUUUAGCAGGGAAGAAGCGAAAGUGACGGUACCUGCAGAAAAAGCGCCGGCUAACUACGUGCCAGCAGCCGCGGUAAUACGUAGGGCGCAAGCGUUAUCCGGAAUUAUUGGGCGUAAAGAGCUCGUAGGCGGUUUGUCGCGUCUGCUGUGAAACCCCGAGGCUCAACCUCGGGCCUGCAGUGGGUACGGGCAGACUAGAGUGCGGUAGAGGAGAUUGGAAUUCCUGGUGUAGCGGUGGAAUGCGCAGAUAUCAGGAGGAACACCGAUGGCGAAGGCAGAUCUCUGGGCCGUAACUGACGCUGAGGAGCGAAAGGGUGGGGAGCAAACAGGCUUAGAUACCCUGGUAGUCCACCCCGUAAACGUUGGGAACUAGUUGUGGGGUCCAUUCCACGGAUUCCGUGACGCAGCUAACGCAUUAAGUUCCCCGCCUGGGGAGUACGG
rnacentral:rRNA from 1 species